AAUGAACGUUGGCGGCGUGGAUUAGGCAUGCAAGUCGCGCGAGAAGUUUCCUUCGGGAGACGGACAGCGGCGGAAGGGAGAGGAAUAAGUAGAAAUCUGCCCUCGGGACGGGGAUAGCGGCGGGAAACUGCCGGUAAUACCCGAUAACAUCUUUGGAUCAAAUGGUGUGAUUCCGCCUGAGGAUGAGUCUACUUCCUAUUAGCUAGUUGGUGUGGUAAUGGCUCACCAAGACAACGACGGGUAGCGGGUGUGAGAGCACGAUCCGCCUCACUGGGACUGAGACACUGCCCAGACACCUACGGGUGGCUGCAGUCGAGAAUCUUCGGCAAUGGGGGAAACCCUGACCGAGCGACGCCGCGUGCGGGAUGAAGGCCCUCGGGUUGUAAACCGCUGUCGUAAGGGACAAAGUCUAAGAGGGUACUCCCUUUUAGUUGAGUGAUCUUAGGAGAAGACGGGCUAAGUCGUGCCAGCAGCCGCGGUAAAGUCUGU
rnacentral:rRNA from 1 species